CGCCUCUAGAUUUCCUUAUUAGAGGUACAUUCUGCCCUAUGCCCUACGGGGUAAAUGGCCGCGGUAGCCUGACCGUGCUAAGGUAGCAUAAUCAUUUGCCGUUUAAUUGAUGGCUAGAAUGAAUGAAUAUACGAGAGCUUAACUGUCUCAUCUUUAAAAAUAUAAAUUGACCUUCAAGUGAAGAGACUUGAAUUACAAAAAAAGACGAAAAGACCCUAUAGAGCUUUAUUUUACCCGGGUUUCCCACCUCAGAAAAUUUAGUUGGGGCAACUAGAGAGAAUCUAAAACCUCUCUGAAAAAGAUUUUGAUCCGUUACACGAAAAAAAGAAAAAGCUACCUUAGGGAUAACAGGCUAAUCCUCUUUUAGAGACCAUAUUGACAAGAGGGAUUGGCACCUCGAUGUUGGCUCAGGGUUACAGUUUGAUGCAGCAGUCGAUCAAA
rnacentral:rRNA from 1 species